GCUGGGCACGGUGGCACAUGCCUGUAAUCCUGGCAAUUUGGGAGGCUGAGACAGGAGGACUGCAAGUUGGAGGCCAGACUCGGCAAUUUAUCAAGGCCCCAAGCAACUUAGCGAGACCCUGUCUCAA
rnacentral:sRNA from 1 species